rnacentral:rRNA from 1 species
UACGUAGGGUGCGAGCGUUGUCCGGAAUUACUGGGCGUAAAGAGCUCGUAGGUGGUUUGUCGCGUUGUUCGUGAAAACUCACAGCUCAACUGUGGGCGUGCGGGCGAUACGGGCAGACUGGAGUACUGCAGGGGAGACUGGAAUUCCUGGUGUAGCGGUGGAAUGCGCAGAUAUCAGGAGGAACACCGGUGGCGAAGGCGGGUCUCUGGGCAGUAACUGACGCUGGAGGAAGCGAAAGCGUGGGGAGCGAACAGG